ACAAAUUUCUGUAAUUUCUACAGCAAAAUUUUACAGUUACUUCUUGUUCUGUCAUUUUACAAAGUUUAGCUGUACAUUGCAAUGCAUUGUGGGUCAAAAAACUAUUACAGAAGUUGACAGCUUUUCCCCCACAAUAAAUUACAGGUAUAUUUGCGCUUGCCUGUAAAUGAUGCAGUAUUACAGUUAUUCACUGUUGAAUGUGUUGCACGAGGCAGCUUGACGCCAUUUUAUGUCGGAUUGCAGAGGAGCAGGGACAUUGCCACGCCACUCAUGCACAAAAUGUGUUGGCAACAGCAACAGACGUUGAAAAAAGACUACAGUUUCCUGACUUAAUUGUCUAAGGUGAAUCAGCGUUUGGAUGCUGAGCAUCGGGUGGUUGUGCCUCCACAUCCCAACUUCGUGGCUGGAAUGGCAGCUUUGUUUUCUAUCUACUACACCUUCAAUCU